GCCAACUGAGCUGUCCAGGUGCCCCAACAGCAGGCUCCAGGACAUGGAACCAGGAAAGGGGAUGGAAGGCAGCCCUGCAAACGAAUGUCAACGAGCGUGUCCAAGCUCAGCCCUGUCAUUCUGGAGUGCCCUCGGUGUUCUUCGCCACCUUGAAGUCAAGCUGUGAGUCGGUGCAUUCUCUUAUUAUCCACAAAAAACAAAACGAAGCAGCCCCCCACCCCCACUGCGCACCCUGCGCCAGACUCAUCGGCUUCCCUAGGCUCUCUCUUUGUCAAGUCUAGCAAGU